rnacentral:rRNA from 1 species
UACGUAGGGGGCAAGCGUUGUCCGGAAUUAUUGGGCGUAAAGAGCGCGUAGGCGGCCAGAUAAGUCCGGUGUGAAAGCCACAGGCUCAACCUGUGAAUGCCGCUGGAAACUGUCUGGCUAGAGUCCGGGAGGGGCGAGUGGAAUUCCUGGUGUAGCGGUGAAAUGCGCAGAUAUCAGGAGGAACACCAAUGGCGAAGGCAGCUCGCUGGAACGGAACUGACGCUGAGGCGCGAAAGCGUGGGGAGCGAACAGG